GCCGGGGUGGUGAAACUGGCAAACACGCGGGCCUCAAAAGCCCGUGCCCGCAAGGGCUUGUGGGUUCAACUCCCACCCCCGGCA
rnacentral:tRNA from 1 species